rnacentral:rRNA from 1 species
CCUACGGGUGGCAGCAGUGAGGAAUAUUGGUCAAUGGGCGUAAGCCUGAACCAGCCAAGUCGCGUGAGGGAUGAAGGUUCUAUGGAUCGUAAACCUCUUUUAUAAGGGAAUAAAGUGUGGGACGUGUCCUGUGUUGUAUGUACCUUAUGAAUAAGGAUCGCCUAACUCCGUGCCAGCAGCCGCGGUAAUACGGAGGAUCCGAGCGUUCUCCGGAUUUAUUGGGUGUAAGGGGUGCGUAGGCGGCCUUUUAAGUCAGCGGUGAAAGUCUUGGGCUCAACCAUAGAAUUGCCGUUGAAACUGGGAGGCUUGAGUAUGUUAGAGGAAGGCGGAAUGCGUGGUGUAGCGGUGAAAUGCUUAGAUAUCACGCAGAACCCCGAUUGCGAAGGCAGCAUGCCAAGCCAUGACUGACGCUGAUGCACGAAAGCGUGGGGAGCAAACAGGAUUAGAUACCCUGGUAGUC